UGGGGAAUAUUGGACAAUGGGCGAAAGCCUGAUCCAGCAAUGCCGCGUGAGUGAUGAAGGCCUUAGGGUUGUAAAGCUCUUUUACCCGGGAAGAUAAUGACUGUACCGGGAGAAUAAGCUCCGGCUAACUCCGUGCCAGCAGCCGCGGUAAUACGGAGGGAGCUAGCGUUGUUCGGAAUUACUGGGCGUAAAGCGCACGUAGGCGGCUUUGUAAGUUAGAGGUGAAAGCCUGGGGCUCAACUCCAGAAUUGCCUUUAAGACUGCAUCGCUUGAAUCAUGGAGAGGCGAGUGGAAUUCCGAGUGUAGAGGUGAAAUUCGUAGAUAUUCGGAAGAACACCGGUGGCGAAGGCGGCCCGCUGGGCAGGAAGAGAGGGUAACCUCUCGGCUGACGCUGAGGCGCGACAGCGUGGGGAGCAAACAG
rnacentral:rRNA from 1 species